GGAAUUUACACUGUCUUCGGAGAGAAGGG
rnacentral:piRNA from 1 species